GAUGAACGCUGGCGGCGUGCCUAAUACAUGCAAGUCGAGCGAACAGACGAGGAGCUUGCUCCUCUGACGUUAGCGGCGGACGGGUGAGUAACACGUGGAUAACCUACCUAUAAGACUGGGAUAACUUCGGGAAACCGGAGCUAAUACCGGAUAAUAUAUUGAACCGCAUGGUUCAAUAGUGAAAGACGGUUUUGCUGUCACUUAUAGAUGGAUCCGCGCCGCAUUAGCUAGUUGGUAAGGUAACGGCUUACCAAGGCAACGAUGCGUAGCCGACCUGAUAGGGGGAUCGGCCACACUGGAACUGAGACACGGCCCAGACUCCUACGGGAGGCAGCAGUAGGGAAUCUUCCGCAAUGGGCGAAAGCCUGACGGAGCAACGCAGCGUGAGUGAUGAAGGUCUUCGGAUCGUAAAACUCUGUUAUUAGGAAGAACAAAUGUGUAAGUAACUAUGCACGUCUUGACGGUACCUAAUCAGAAAGCCACGGCUAACUACGUG
rnacentral:rRNA from 1 species